GACGAACGCUGGCGGCGUGCUUAACACAUGCAAGUCAAGGGGGGCCGCAAGGUCAACCGGCGAACGGGUGCGUAACACGUGAGCAACCUGCCUAAGUGUGGGGGAUAGCCGGCCCAACGGCCGGGUAAUACCGCAUACGAUCAUUAGUUGGCAUCGACUGAUGAUGAAACUUUCGAGGCACUUAGAGGGGCUCGCGGCCUAUCAGCUAGUUGGUGGGGUAAUGCCUACCAAGGCGACGACGGGUAGCUGGUCUGAGAGGAUGGCCAGCCACAUUUGGGACUGAGAUACGGGCCCAGACUCCUACGGGAGGCAGCAGUGGGGAAUAUUGCGCAAUGGGCGAAAGCCUGACGCAGCGACG
rnacentral:rRNA from 1 species